rnacentral:rRNA from 1 species
CAAUAGCGUAUAUUAAAGUUGUUGCAGUUAAAAAGCUCGUAGUUGGAUUUGUGGCGUACGGUGUGUUCCGGGCACUUGUUGUCUGAGUAACCUGCUGUUGCCAUCCUUGGGUGGAACCUGUGUGGCAUUAGGUUGUCGUGCAGGGGAUGCCCAUCAUUUACUGUGAAAAAAUUAGAGUGUUCAAAGCAGGCUUAUGCCGUUGAAUAUAUUAGCAUGGAAUAAUGAGAUAGGACUUUUUUGCUAUUUUGUUGGUUUGCGCAAAGAGGUAAUGAUUAAUAGGGACAGUUGGGGGUAUUCGUAUUCCAUGUCAGAGGUGAAAUUCUUGGAUUUUUGGAAGACGAACUACUGCGAAAGCAUUUACCAAGGAUGUUUUCAUUAA